CCUAAGCUGAGGCCGACAGGCGUAGGCGAUGGAUAACAGGUUGAUAUUCCUGUACCACCUAUAAUCGUUUUAAUCGAUGGGGGGACGCAGUAGGAUAGGCGAAGCGUGCGAUUGGAUUGCACGUCUAAGCAGUAAGGCUGAGUAUUAGGCAAAUCCGGUACUCGUUAAGGCUGAGCUGUGAUGGGGAGAAGACAUUGUGUCUUCGAGUCGUUGAUUUCACACUGCCGAGAAAAGCCUCUAGAUAGAAAAUAGGUGCCCGUACCGCAAACCGACACAGGUAGUCAAGAUGAGAAUUCUAAGGUGAGCGAGCGAACUCUCGUUAAGGAACUCGGCAAAAUGACCCCGUAACUUCGGGAGAAGGGGUGCUCUUUAGGGUUAACGCCCAGAAGAGCCGCAGUGAAUAGGCCCAAGCGACUGUUUAUCAAAAACACAGGUCUCUGCUAAACCGUAAGGUGAUGUAUAGGGGCUGACGCCUGCCCGGUGCUGGAAGGUUAAGAGGAGUGGUUAGCUUCUGCGAAGCUACGAAUCGAAGCCCCAGUAAACGGCGGCCGUAACUAUAACGGUCCUAAGGUAGCGAAAUUCCUUGUCGGGUAAGUUCCGACCCGCACGAAAGGCGUAACGAUUUGGGCACUGUCUCAACGAGAGACUCGGUGAAAUCAUAGUACCUGUGAAGAUGCAGGUUACCCGCGACAGGACGGAAAGACCCCGUGGAGCUUUACUGUAGCCUGAUAUUGAAAUUCGGCACAGCUUGUACAGGAUAGGUAGGAGCCUUUGAAACGUGAGCGCUAGCUUACGUGGAGGCGCUGGUGGGAUACUACCCUAGCUGUGUUGGCUUUCUAACCCGCACCACUUAUCGUGGUGGGAGACAGUGUCAGGCGGGCAGUUUGACUGGGGCGGUCGCCUCCUAAAAGGUAACGGAGGCGCUCAAAGGUUCCCUCAGAAUGGUUGGAAAUCAUUCAUAGAGUGUAAAGGCAUAAGGGAGCUUGACUGCGAGACCUACAAGUCGAGCAGGGUCGAAAGACGGACUUAGUGAUCCGGUGGUUCCGCAUGGAAGGGCCAUCGCUCAACGGAUAAAAGCUACCCCGGGGAUAACAGGCUUAUCUCCCCCAAGAGUUCACAUCGACGGGGAGGUUUGGCACCUCGAUGUCGGCUCAUCGCAUCCUGGGGCUGUAGUCGGUCCCAAGGGUUGGGCUGUUCGCCCAUUAAAGCGGUACGCGAGCUGGGUUCAGAACGUCGUGAGACAGUUCGGUCCCUAUCCGUCGUGGGCGUAGGAAAUUUGAGAGGAGCUGUCCUUAGUACGAGAGGACCGGGAUGGACAUACCUCUGGUGUACCAGUUGUCGUGCCAACGGCAUAGCUGGGUAGCUAUGUGUGGACGGGAUAAGUGCUGAAAGCAUCUAAGCAUGAAGCCCCCCUCAAGAUGAGAUUUCCCAACUUCG
rnacentral:rRNA from 1 species